rnacentral:tRNA from 1 species
AAGAAGGUGGCAGAGGAUAUGCGUCUGGCUUGAAACCAGGGUACGGGGGUUCGAUUCCCCCCUUUCUUG